UUAACUCGAAUUUGUAUGGUAUUGGAACGUUUGCCUACGUUUUUCUAUUUUUUUUGUUGCUUAGCUUGGGGCGCUGUUCCAACUCCAUACAAAUUUGAUUAA
rnacentral:pre_miRNA from 1 species